rnacentral:rRNA from 1 species
UGCCGGCGACCGGCGGACGGGUGCGUAACGCGUAUGUAACCUACCUUUGACAGGGGGAUAACAUCGAGAAAUUGGUACUAAUACCCCAUAACAUCACCGGAGGCAUCUUCGGUGGUUGAAAACUCAGGUGGUCAGAGAUGGACAUGCGUUGUAUUAGCUAGUUGGUGAGGUAACGGCUCACCAAGGCGACGAUACAUAGGGGGACUGAGAGGUCAACCCCCCACAUUGGUACUGAGACACGAACCAAACUCCUACGGAAGGCAGCAG